CUACGGGUGGCUCCAGUAAGGAAUAUUGCGCAAUGGAGGCAACUCUGACGCAGCCAUGCCGCGUGCAGGAAGAAGGCCUUAUGGGUCGUAAACUGCUUUUAUUUAGGAAUAAACCCCCGAACGUGUUCGGGGCUGAAGGUACUAAACGAAUAAGCACCGGCUAACUCCGUGCCAGCAGCCGCGGUAAUACGGAGGGUGCAAGCGUUAUCCGGAUUUAUUGGGUUUAAAGGGUGCGCAGGCGGGUUAUUAAGUCAGUGGUGAAAUCCCGGGGCUCAACUCCGGAACUGCCAUUGAUACUGAUAGUCUUGAGUUUGGUUGAAGUGGGCGGAAUGUAGCAUGUAGCGGUGAAAUGUAUAGAUAUGCUACAGAACACCAAUCGCGAAGGCAGCUCACUAAGCCAAAACUGACGCUCAUGCACGAAAGCGUGGGGAUCAAACAGGAUUAGAUACCCUGGUAGUC
rnacentral:rRNA from 1 species